rnacentral:rRNA from 1 species
GAUGAACGCUAGCUACAGGCUUAACACAUGCAAGUCGAGGGGAAACGGCAUCGAAAGCUUGCUUUUGAUGGGCGUCGACCGGCGCACGGGUGAGUAACGCGUAUCCAACCUGCCCAUCACUUGGGAAUAACCUUGCGAAAGUAAGACUAAUGCCCAAUGACAUCCCACGAAGGCAUCCGAAUGGGAUUAAAGAUUUAUCGGUGAUGGAUGGGGAUGCGUCUGAUUAGCUUGUUGGCGGGGUGACGGCCCACCAAGGCAACGAUCGGUAGGGGUUCUGAGAGGAAGGUCCCCCACAUUGGAACUGAGACACGGUCCAAACUCCUACGGGAGGCAGCAGUGAGGAAUAGUGGUCAAUGGGCGAGAGCCUGAACCAGCCAAGUAGCGUGCAGGAUGACGGCCCUAUGGGUUGUAAACUGCUUUUAUAAGGGAAUAAAGUGGGUCACGUGUGACUUUUUGCAUGUACCUUAUGAAUAAGGACCGGCUAAUUCCGUG